UACGUAGGGUGCAAGCGUUAAUCGGAAUUACUGGGCGUAAAGCGUGCGCAGGCGGUUCGCUAAGACCGAUGUGAAAUCCCCGGGCUUAACCUGGGAACUGCAUUGGUGACUGGCGGGCUAGAGUAUGGCAGAGGGGGGUAGGAAUCCACGUGUAGCAGUGAAAUGCGUAGAGAUGUGGAGGAAUACCGAUGGCGAAGGCAGCCCCCUGGGCCAAUACUGACGCUCAUGCACGAAAGCGUGGGGAGCAAACAGG
rnacentral:rRNA from 1 species